rnacentral:rRNA from 1 species
CAGUAACACGUGGACAAUCUGGCCUGAAGUGGAGAAUAAUCCCGGGAAACUGGGGGUAAUACUCCAUAGUUCGUGAGUACUGGAAUGUCUUUCGAACGAAAGAUCCGUCGCUUCAGGAUGAGUCUGCGGCUGAUUAGGUAGUUGUUGUGGUAACGGCCCAACAAGCCUAUGAUCGGUACGGGUUGUGGGAGCAAGAGCCCGGAGAUGGAUUCUGAGACACGAAUCCAGGCCCUACGGGGCGCAGCAGGCGCGAAAACUUUACCAUGCGGGCAACCGUGAUAAGGAAACCCCGAGUGCCAGCAUAGGCUGGCUGUCCGCCAGUUUAAAAAACUGGUGAAGAAAGGGCCGGGCAAGACCGGUGCCAGCCGCCGCGGUAAUACCGGCGGCUCGAGUGGUGGCCACUAUUACUGGGCUUAAAGGGUCCGUAGCUUGAUAUGCAAGUCUUUUGAGAAAUCCGCCAGCUUAACUGGCGGGCGUUCAGGGGAAACUGUAUUUCUAGGGACCGGGAGAGGUGAGAGGUACUGCCGGGGUAGGAGUGAAAUCCUGUAAUCCCGGUGGGACCACCUAUGGCGAAGGCAUCUC